rnacentral:rRNA from 1 species
UACGAAGGGGGCUAGCGUUGCUCGGAAUCACUGGGCGUAAAGGGCGCGUAGGCGGCCGAUUAAGUCGGGGGUGAAAGCCUGUGGCUCAACCACAGAAUUGCCUUCGAUACUGGUUGGCUUGAGACCGGAAGAGGACAGCGGAACUGCGAGUGUAGAGGUGAAAUUCGUAGAUAUUCGCAAGAACACCAGUGGCGAAGGCGGCUGUCUGGUCCGGUUCUGACGCUGAGGCGCGAAAGCGUGGGGAG